UCCGAGUUGACCCCGGCAGUCUCCCAUGAGUCCCCGCCAUUACGCGCUGGCAACAUGGAACGAGGGUUGCGCUCGUUGCGGGACUUAACCCAACAUCUCACGGCACGAGCUGACGACAGCCAUGCACCACCUGUGCAGGCUCCGUAGAGCACCCGUUUUCGCGGGUUUCACCCUGCAUGUCAAGCCCUGGUAAGGUUCUUCGCGUUGCGUCGAAUUAAGCCACAUGCUCCGCCGCUUGUGCGGGUCCCCGUCAAUUCCUUUGAGUUUUAGCCUUGCGGCCGUACUCCCCAGGCGGGGCACUUAAUGCGUUAGCUACGGCGCGGAAAACGUGGAAUGUCCCCCGCACCUAGUGCCCAACGUUUACGGCAUGGACUAC
rnacentral:misc_RNA from 1 species